CUUCACCACAACCUCAUGAGAUCCCAAGCUACAACCACUCAGUUAAGUUAUGCCAAAAUUCCUGAUUCACAGAAAGUGACAUACAGGAGAGGUCACAGUUAAGAUCUUGAUGUUCUAUCUUGACCCAUAAUAUAGGAACUUCAUCUUUUGGGAAGCACCAGGGAGAGCUGCCUGUGCCUGGCAGAAGCUGCCCAUGCCCCACUGAUACCCCACAGUACUUCCUGUUCUGCUCAGUACUCCUGCUUCUUUCUACAAACAACUGUGAUUCUCUACCUGGGAGCUUCCUCUGGCCACAGGAGCCUGCUCACCUGAUUGGGACACCCUAGCAGUACUGUGCUUCCUGGAAUCAUCUCCCUCAUCAAUCAUUUGUUCCUAAAUUCUGUCUGAGUCUGUUUCUGAGGAAACCCAACCUGAGUCAUCGUCCCUCUUCUCCCCUCCUCACAUUCUCUUCACUGGGGGAGGAUGGAUUGAGUUGACUGGCAAAUUCGGGAGAAGGAGUUUGCAUCGGAGUGCGUGACUCAGCUGAGGCUGGGCUCUGUUUCUUCAGAAUGAGUGCAUUCAGAUUCGAUGUGUAUCCUGUCUCCGGGAAGCCCCAUGCUCUGCUCAUCUUAGCAUGAUUACUAAGGUACACUCUGCCCUUGCAAGGGGAAGGCCCGAGAUUUGCUGCUGGCAGGCUCAGUGGGAGUUG
rnacentral:lncRNA from 1 species